rnacentral:rRNA from 1 species
GAUGAACGCUGGCAGAAUGCUUAACACAUGCAAGUCUUUGGCGAAGCUGUGCUUGCACAGCCUAGCCAGGGCGGACGGGUGAGUAACGCGUAAGGAACUUGCCCUGCAGUCAGGGAUAACAGACGGAAACGACUGAUAAGACCUGGUAAAGUCAGGCGGACUCAUGUCCAGCCUGAUGAAAAGAGAUGCUGCAGGAGAGCCUUGCGUCCUAUUAGCUUGUUGGUGGGGUAACGGCCCACCAAGGCGAUGAUAGGUAGCCGGCCUGAGAGGGUGGACGGCCAAAAGGGGACUGAGAUACGGCCCUUGCUCCUACGGGAGGCAGCAGGGGGGAAUAUUGGACAAUGGGGGCAACCCUGAUCCAGCAAUUCUGUGUGCACGAUGAAGGUUUUCGGAUUGUAAAGUGCUUUCAGCAGGGAAGAAAAAAAUGACGGUACCUGCAGAAGAAGCGACGGCUAAAUACGUG